UAUGAUUUCAAAAUAGCGCUUUAUAAUUUGUUGACUUUUAAAAAUCUGUUUUAGACUUUUUUUUGAUGCCAUUAUAUACAUUAAUGUUUUUAGUUUGUAGGACUAACCAGUACCCUAAAUUAUGUGUUUGGAUUAUUAUUUAUUUGUGUGUGUAUGUUUGUUGUAUUUUGUUUGUUUGUUUGUUUUAAGGCCAGUGAUCCCGUCGAGCUCUGAUGAGGAUUGGGACAACACUGCGGAACAGCCAGAGACCUCACCACCAUCAGCAAUGGAGAAUAGACAUUCAAGUGAAACUCACUUCCUGAACAUCACUCAUCCAUUUGUUCAGCCGCUACAACCCUCAACUCCUUCACCUGUGGUUUCACAACCAGUUCCAAGACAACUUCUACAAGCCACCAAUACGAGCAUGUUUGUACGUGUUCUAACCCUCCUGGAAGACAUUAAGGACACUCAGAGGGUCCACAGUCGAAUGCUACAGUCUCUCCUUACACAACGUGAUGGACCAGUUGCUGCAGUAUUACCCGAGGGUGCUGUAUUUCCCAUCCGGACAGUAGCAGAUGUGGCAGCACUGGAGCAAAAACUGGCAGACCCUGUCUUCCUAAAAGAAGUGGUUGCUGUUGUGGCAGAGAUCAGAGGGAGCACUGUUGAUGAAGCCACAAGAAGAAUGAUGGCCUUCAUUAUGGACAAUGCUCUUUCCAGGCAAUAUAACUUCGUUGGGUGCCAUGCAAAGCGGGAAUUUCGAGGGCUUAAAGUUUUUGAAGUGCUAUAUGGACCAAUGGAUUGGUGAAUGAGUGAGAAGCUG
ensembl:lncRNA